CAAUGAAACUCUUGUUACCGUACAAUCACCAAAGUUAAGCCAGGUCGAGCUUGGUCAGUACCUAUAUGGAUGACCGCCUGUGAAUACUAGGUGCUGUAAG